rnacentral:lncRNA from 1 species
AUGUUGAUUGUGGCGAAAUAAUCAAAUGUAUCUACAUAGCAUGCCUCCCCUGGACAUGUUUACUCUGGGUGAAGAAAAGUUUCAAACAUCAGGAAAAAAAAACAGCGCAUUGCAAAACAUAUUAGACUGAACCUAUCGAUGACAAAAUGCAACUGUGAAAUGUUGAGACUGUUCAUCAAAGCUGGACAUAAGCAGGAUCCAUUCCAUUUUCA